rnacentral:rRNA from 1 species
GUUAGGAAUAUUGGACAAUGGGCGCAAGCCUGAUCCAGCCAUGCCGCGUGAGUGAUGAAGGCCUUCGGGUUGUAAAGCUCUUUAGCCGAUGAUUAUAAUGACUGUAGUCGGAAAAUAAGCCCCGACUAACUUCGUGCCAGCAGCCGCGGUAAUACGAAGGGGGCGAGCGUUAUUCGGAAUCACUGGGCGUAAAGCGUGCGUAGGCGGUUUUGUAAGUUAGGAGUGAAAGCCCAGGGCUCAACCCUGGAAUUGCUCUUAAAACUACAAGGCUAGAAUGUCGGAGAGGAUAGCGGAAUUUCCAGUGUAGCAGUGAAAUGCGUAGAUAUUGGAAGGAACACCAGUGGCGUAAGCGGCUAUCUGGACGACUAUUGACGCUGAGGCACGAAAGCGUGGGGAUCAAACAGGAUUAGAAACCCCUGUAGUCC